rnacentral:rRNA from 1 species
UACGGAGGCUGCAAGCGUUGUCCGGAUUUAUUGGGUUUAAAGGGUGCGUAGGCGGCCCGGUAAGUCAGUGGUGAAAGCCUCCAGCUCAACUGGAGAACUGCCAUUGAUACUGCCGGGCUUGAGUACAGACGAGGUUGGCGGAAUUGAUUGUGUAGCGGUGAAAUGCAUAGAUACAAUCAAGAACUCCGAUUGCGUAGGCAGCUAACUAGGCUGUAAACUGACGCU